GUACGUUUCUGGACAGAGUGUGGCAUUUUUUGAUUGAGCAAUGAUUAAAAGUGGUAAUACUAUCACAGAUUGUUACUGUAGUGACUAAAUACAGGGUUAUUCUAGAACCCAUACUGAAAUACCUAACAGGGUGCUCCUACUUUCUGACAAAGGAACAAAGAAGAAGAAAAAGGACACACCCAGAAAGAUUAAUCUCUGGCAAAAGUGGAACCGAAAACACUUAAGAGUUUAAAAGAAAGCUUAAAUGCUUGGAAUUCAUACAGUAUUUUUAAUGGUGGGUAAUUUGGAUGGAACUGUUUAUGGGGAACUAUCUACCUUGAGAAAGACAUGAAAAAAUCCGUGUAAUAUCAGUCCAAUAUGGUCUAUGGCAAUUUGGAAAGUGUGAAUAGCCAUGUCCUUACAUAAUUUGUUGCAAGUAAUCAGUGACAAUGAUUUAACAUUGAAGCCGACUGAGGUGGAGAUAGUACCUGGUGCUAACAAGAAGCUGACCAAAAAUUUUAAAAGGAAAACCUGGGGAAUGGUAUCUCCGUAGGUGGCUCUGAAGAGCUCUGACCUAUUCCUGGGAAUCUAGAAUGCCAAGCACGUGUGCAGAGUUGUGCACAUCUUAAGAAAAGAGCUAAGAGUGCCCCAGUCUUUCACCUCUAGCUGACCUUGAGGCUCUUCACAAGCAAGAAGUGGUGGCUAAGGCGGAAUUGUAGUCUGCCUGAUAGAAUGUUGAAGCAUACC